CCUACGGGAGGCAGCAGUGAGGAAUAUUGGUCAAUGGACGAGAGUCUGAACCAGCCAAGUAGCGUGAAGGAUGACUGCCCUAUGGGUUGUAAACUUCUUUUAUAUGGGAAUAAAACGUUCCACGUGUGGGAUUUUGUAUGUACCAUAUGAAUAAGGAUCGGCUAACUCCGUUCCAGCAGCCGCGGUAAUACGGAGGAUCCGAGCGUUAUCCGGAUUUAUUGGGUUUAAAGGGAGCGUAGGUGGAUUGUUAAGUCAGUUGUGAAAGUUUGCGGCUCAACCGUAAAAUUGCAGUUGAAACUGGCAGUCUUGAGUACAGUAGAGGUGGGCGGAAUUCGUGGUGUAGCGGUGAAAUGCUUAGAUAUCACGAAGAACUCCGAUUGCGAAGGCAGUUCACUGGACUGCAACUGACACUGAGGCUCGAAAGUGUGGGUAUCAAACAGGAUUAGAUACCCGAGUAGUC
rnacentral:rRNA from 1 species